rnacentral:rRNA from 1 species
AUGAAUCUGACAGACAGAGAAAGUGCAAAAUUGGUGGUGGAUGAUCAGCAUGGAAAUCAAGGUGAACCAAUAGUGGCGGUGGUAGGUAAGGUGCUGCACAGGAGGGUACUUCAUGUAAACACCAUUGCCGAAGCUUUGAGGCCUGCAUGGGGCAACUCAAGGGGACUCUCGUUCAGCUCUGCAGGAGAUAAUAUGUUUGUGGCAAGGUUUGAAGGGAAGAGGGAUCGGGACAGGAUCUUCGAGGGAGGACCAUGGAUGGUGGGCAAGCAUGCGGUAGUGCUUCAGAUCUUCUAUGAGAGUCAAAUGCCCUCCGAUCUAAAAUUUGAGAUGAUACAGAUCUGGGCUAGAGUUAUCAAUCUGCCCUUCAACUUGAGGCGAUCCCCAUGGCCACAGAAGAUAGCUCAACUGUUGGGGAAAGUCAUGAGGGUUGAUGUGGAUUCGAAAGGUUUUGCAUAUGGGAAAGCAUUGAGGACACGUGUAUGGAUAAAUGUGAAGGAACCAUUAAUGAGGUGGGUGAGGCUAGAAUCUGCGAAAACCAAAGAGGAUAUAUUGUAUGAUGUUCAGUAUGAAUCUCUACCAUAUUUUUGUUUCUCUUGUGGAUUACUUGGACACGCAGAUACGUUCUGUCCAACACCGGCAGGUGAUGAUGCCUAUGGGAGGCUCCCAUAUGGGGAAAAUCUCAGAGUCCCAAUGAGGAAGAAGGACUGGGGUAGUGGACCUUUCAGGGGAUAUGGAGAGACAGCUGAUAAUCAGUAUGCUGAGGAGGACUGGGAAGAUGAGGACGUGGAGAAAGGUGAGGAAGUAACCUCGUUUGAUAAGUCUGCAUCUAGUCGUGUUAAAAAUGCAGUCUAUCGGUCCAAUGCUCGAGGUGGAGGGGCUACUGGGAGAGGCGUACCAUCUCAACGGGGCAGAGGUAACGGAAAGAAUCAUGUUUACAGGAGGGUGAACAUGGAUGAGGGUGGUCGUAGAUCACCACUUAUGCUAGUAGAUCAGGAAACUUUGAAUAAGAAGAGAACUAGUGAAACGGAGGCGUCCGACAACUCUAAGGAGGACAGUCGGGACUCUAAGAAGAAGAAAGCAGAGGGGGAGACUAGCACUAAAAAUAUGGUGGAGGCUGGGAGCCAGCCCCACCGGGACCAAUGA